rnacentral:rRNA from 1 species
GAUGAACGCUGGCGGCGUGCCUAAUACAUGCAAGUCGAGCGAACAGACGAGGAGCUUGCUCGUCUGACGUUAGCGGCGGACGGGUGAGUAACACGUGGAUAACCUACCUAUAAGACUGGGAUAACUUCGGGAAACCGGAGCUAAUACCGGAUAAUAUAUUGAACCGCAUGGUUCAAUAGUGAAAGACGGUUUUGCUGUCACGUAUAGAUGGAUCCGCGCGGCAUUAGCUAGUUGGUAAGGUAACGGCUUACCAAGGCAACGAUGCGUAGCCGACCUGAGAGGGUGGUCGGCCAGCCUGGCACUGAGGCACAGUCCCGACUCCUACGGUAGGCAGCAGUAGGGAAUCUUCCGCAAUGGGGGAGUGCCUGACGGAGCAACGCCGCGUGAGUGCUGAAGGUCUUAGGAUCGUAAAGCUCUGUUAUUAGUGAAGAACAAAUGUGUAAGUAACUAUGCACGUCUUGACGGUACCUGAUCAGAAAGCCACGGCUAACUACGUG